rnacentral:rRNA from 1 species
AACGUAGGAGGCGAGCGUUAUCCGGAGUUACUGGGCGUAAAGCGCGUGUAGGUGGUUGGAUACGUCUGCUGUGAAAUGUCCCGGCUUAACCGGGAGGGUGCGGCAGAUACGGUCUGACUUGAGGGCGACAGAGGAGCGUAGAAUUCCGGGUGUAGUGGUGAAAUGCGUAGAGAUCCGGAGGAACACCAGAGGCGAAGGCGGCCCACUGGGCUGCACCUGACGCUGAGCCGCGAAAGCCAGGGGAGCGAACGGG